rnacentral:rRNA from 1 species
UAAGGAAUAUUGCGCAAUGGGCGACAGCCUGACGCAGCGACGCCGCGUGGGGGAUGAAGGUCUUCGGAUUGUAAACCCCUUUCGGCAGGGAAGAUGGAACGGGUAACCGUUCGGACGGUACCUGCAGAAGCAGCCACGGCUAACUUCGUGCCAGCAGCCGCGGUAAUACGAAGGUGGCAAGCGUUGUUCGGAUUUACUGGGCGUACAGGGAGCGUAGGCGGUUGGGUAAGCCCUCCGUGAAAUCUCCGGGCCUAACCCGGAAAGUGCGGAGGGGACUGCUCGGCUAGAGGAUGGGAGAGGAGCGCGGAAUUCCCGGUGUAGCGGUGAAAUGCGUAGAGAUCGGGAGGAAGGCCGGUGGCGAAGGCGGCGCUCUGGAACAUAUCUGACGCUGAGGCUCGAACGCGUGGGGAGCAAACAGGAUUAGAUACCCUCGUAGUCCCUGAGCGGGCUGGCAAGGCGCAU